rnacentral:rRNA from 1 species
AGUCGAGCGCGUGAAGCAACAUGAUCCCUUCGGGGUGAUUGUUGUGGAUCGAGCGGCGGACGGGUGAGUAACACGUGGAUAACCUACCUUCGAGAUCGGGAUAACCCCGGGAAACCGGGGCUAAUACCGAAUGAUCUGUUAGACCGCAUGGUCGAACAGCAAACGGCGGCCCUGCCGUCACUCGAAGAUGGAUCCGCGGCGCAUUAGCUAGUUGGUAAGGUAACGGCUUACCAAGGCGACNAUNCGUAGCCNACCUGAGAGGGUGAUCGGCCACACUGGGACUGAAACACGGCCCAAACUCCUACGGGAGGCAGCAGUAGGGAAUCUUCCGCAAUGGACGAAAGUCUGACGGAGCAACGCCGCGUGAACNAUGAAGGUCUUCGGAUCGUAAAGUUCUGUUGUUAGGGAAGAACAAGUGCCAGAGGAAAUGCUGGCACCUUGACGGUACCUAACCAGAAAGCCCCGGCUAAACUACNUGCCACAGCCGCGGUAAUACCUAAGGGGCAAGCGUUGUCCGGAAUU